rnacentral:rRNA from 1 species
GUCCCUACGGGGCGCAGCAGUGAGGAAUAUUGGUCAAUGGUCGGGAGACUGAACCAGCCAAGCCGCGUGAAGGAAGAAGGCCUUCGGGUCGUAAACUUCUGUCCUUGGGGAAGAAGAACUGACGGUACCCAAGGAGGAAGCCCCGGCUAACUACGUGCCAGCAGCCGCGGUAAUACGUAGGGGGCAAGCGUUAUCCGGAAUUAUUGGGCGUAUAGAGUACGUAGGUGGCAACCUAAGCGCAGGGUUUAAGGCAAUGGCUCAACCAUUGUUCGCCCUGCGAACUGGGAUGCUUGAGUGCAGGAGAG